CAGGAUGAACGCUAGCGGCAGGCUUAACACAUGCAAGUCGAGGGGCAGCGAGAUCAGUGCUUGCACUGAUUGUCGGCGACCGGCGCACGGGUGCGUAACGCGUAUGCAACCUACCAUUACAGGGGGAUAACACUGAGAAAUCGGUACUAAUACCCCAUAACAUCCAGGGAGGCAUCUUCUUGGGUUGAAAACUCCGGUGGUAAUGGAUGGGCAUGCGUUGUAUUAGUUAGUUGGUGGGGUAACGGAUCACCAAGACAACGAUACAUAGGGGGACUGAGAGGUUAACCCCCCACAUUGGUACUGAGACACGGACCAAACUCCUACGGGAGGCAGCAGUGAGGAAUAUUGGUCAAUGGACGCAAGUCCGAACCAGCCAUGCCGCGUGCAGGAAGACGGCUCUAUGAGUUGUAAACUGCUUUUGUACGAGGGUAAACGCAGAUAAGCGUAUCUGUCUGAAAGUAUCGUACGAAUAAGGAUCGGCUAACUCCGUGCCAGCAGCCGCGGUAAUACGGAGGAUUCAAGCGUUAUCCGGAUUUAUUGGGUUUAAAGGGUGCGUAGGCGGUCGGAUAAGUUAGAGGUGAAAUCCCGGGGCUCAACUUCGGAAUUGCCUCUGAUACUGUUCGGCUAGAGAGUAGUUGCGGUAGGCGGAAUGUAUGGUGUAGCGGUGAAAUGCUUAGAGAUCAUACAGAACACCGAUUGCGAAGGCAGCUUACCAAGCUACUUCUGACGUUGAGGCACGAAAGCGUGGGGAGCAAACAGGAUUAGAUACCCUGGUAGUCCACGCAGUAAACGAUGAUAACUUCGUUGUCGGCGAAUACAGUGUCGGUGACUAAGCGAAAGCGAUAAGUUAUCCACCUGGGGAGUACGUUCGCAAGAAUGAAACUCAAAGGAAUUGACGGGGGCCCGCACAAGCGGAGGAACAUGUGGUUUAAUUCGAUGAUACGCGAGGAACCUUACCCGGGCUUGAAAGUUAGUGACGGAUCUUGAAAGAGGUCUUCCCUUCGGGGCACGAAACUAGGUGCUGCAUGGUUGUCGUCAGCUCGUGCCGUGAGGUGUCGGGUUAAGUCCCAUAACGAGCGCAACCCCUACCGUUAGUUGCCAGCAGGUCAAGCUGGGCACUCUGACGGGACUGCCGGUGUAAGCCGAGAGGAAGGUGGGGAUGACGUCAAAUCAGCACGGCCCUUACGUCCGGGGCUACACACGUGUUACAAUGGCAGGUACAGAGGGCAGCUACCCAGCGAUGGGAUGCGAAUCUCGAAAGCCUGUCUCAGUUCGGAUUGGAGGCUGAAACCAGCAUCCAUGAAGUUGGAUUCGCUAGUAAUCGCGCAUCAGCCAUGGCGCGGUGAAUAAGUUCCCGGGCCU
rnacentral:rRNA from 1 species